CAGUCGAACGACUCUGGUAUUGAUUGGUGCUUGCAUCAUGAUUUACAUUUGAGUGAGUGGCGAACUGGUGAGUAACACGUGGGAAACCUGCCCAGAAGCGGGGGAUAACACCUGGAAACAGAUGCUAAUACCGCAUAACAACUUGGACCGCAUGGUCCGAGCUUGAAAGAUGGCUUCGGCUAUCACUUUUGGAUGGUCCCGCGGCGUAUUAGCUAGAUGGUGGGGUAACGGCUCACCAUGGCAAUGAUACGUAGCCGACCUGAGAGGGUAAUCGGCCACAUUGGGACUGAGACACGGCCCAAACUCCUACGGGAGGCAGCAGUAGGGAAUCUUCCACAAUGGACGAAAGUCUGAUGGAGCAACGCCGCGUGAGUGAAGAAGGGUUUCGGCUCGUAAAACUCUGUUGUUAAAGAAGAACAUAUCUGAGAGUAACUGUUCAGGUAUUGACGGUAUUUAACCAGAAAGCCACGGCUAACUACGUGCCAGCAGCCGCGGUAAUACGUAGGUGGCAAGCGUUGUCCGGAUUUAUUGGGCGUAAAGCGAGCGCAGGCGGUUUUUUAAGUCUGAUGUGAAAGCCUUCGGCUCAACCGAAGAAGUGCAUCGGAAACUGGGAAACUUGAGUGCAGAAGAGGACAGUGGAACUCCAUGUGUAGCGGUGAAAUGCGUAGAUAUAUGGAAGAACACCAGUGGCGAAGGCGGCUGUCUGGUCUGUAACUGACGCUGAGGCUCGAAAGUAUGGGUAGCAAACAGGAUUAGAUACCCUGGUAGUCCAUACCGUAAACGAUGAAUGCUAAGUGUUGGAGGGUUUCCGCCCUUCAGUGCUGCAGCUAACGCAUUAAGCAUUCCGCCUGGGGAGUACGGCCGCAAGGCUGAAACUCAAAGGAAUUGACGGGGGCCCGCACAAGCGGUGGAGCAUGUGGUUUAAUUCGAAGCUACGCGAAGAACCUUACCAGGUCUUGACAUACUAUGCAAAUCUAAGAGAUUAGACGUUCCCUUCGGGGACAUGGAUACAGGUGGUGCAUGGUUGUCGUCAGCUCGUGUCGUGAGAUGUUGGGUUAAGUCCCGCAACGAGCGCAACCCUUAUUAUCAGUUGCCAGCAUUAAGUUGGGCACUCUGGUGAGACUGCCGGUGACAAACCGGAGGAAGGUGGGGAUGACGUCAAAUCAUCAUGCCCCUUAUGACCUGGGCUACACACGUGCUACAAUGGAUGGUACAACGAGUUGCGAACUCGCGAGAGUAAGCUAAUCUCUUAAAGCCAUUCUCAGUUCGGAUUGUAGGCUGCAACUCGCCUACAUGAAGUCGGAAUCGCUAGUAAUCGCGGAUCAGCAUGCCGCGGUGAAUACGUUCCCGGGCCUUGUACACACCGCCCGUCACACCAUGAGAGUUUGUAACACCCAAAGUCGGUGGG
rnacentral:rRNA from 2 species